rnacentral:rRNA from 1 species
GACGAACCGUGCGAACGUUGUUCGGAAUCACUGGGCUUAAAGGGCGCGUAGGCGGGUUCGCAAGUCUGUGGUGAAAGCCUCCAGCUUAACUGGAGAAGUGCCGUGGAUACUGCGAAUCUUGAGGAGGGUAGGGGCGUCUGGAACGGUCGGUGGAGCGGUGAAAUGCGUUGAUAUCGACCGGAACUCCGAUGGCGAAGGCGAGGCGCUGGACCCUUUCUGACGCUGAGGCGCGAAAGCCAGGGGAGCAAACGGG